rnacentral:rRNA from 1 species
ACUCCUACGGGAGGCAGCAGUGGGGAAUAUUGCACAAUGGGGGGAAACCCUGAUGCAGCCAUGCCGCGUGUGUGAAGAAGGCCUUCGGGUUGUAAAGCACUUUCAGUAGGGAGGAAGGUAGUGUAGUUAACACCUGCAUUAUUUGACGUUACCUACAGAAGAAGCACCGGCUAACUCCGUGCCAGCAGCCGCGGUAAUACGGAGGGUGCGAGCGUUAAUCGGAAUUACUGGGCGUAAAGCGCAUGCAGGCGGCCUGUUAAGUCAGAUGUGAAAGCCCGGGGCUUAACCUCGGAAUUGCAUUUGAAACUGGCAGGCUAGAGUCUUGUAGAGGGGGGUAGAAUUUCAGGUGUAGCGGUGAAAUGCGUAGAGAUCUGAAGGAAUACCAGUGGCGAAGGCGGCCCCCUGGACAAAAGACUGACGCUCAGAUGCGAAAGCGUGGGGAGCAAACAGGAUUAGAUACCCUGGUA